rnacentral:rRNA from 1 species
AAAGAUUAAGCCAUGCAUGUCUAAGUAUAAGCAAUUAUACAGCGAAACUGCGAAUGGCUCAUUAAAUCAGUUAUCGUUUAUUUGAUAGUACCUUACUACAUGGAUAACCGUGGUAAUUCUAGAGCUAAUACAUGCUGAAAACCCCGACUUCGGAAGGGGUGUAUUUAUUAGAUUAAAAACCAAUGCCCUUCGGGGCUCACUGGUGAUUCAUGAUAACUUCUCGAAUCGCACGGCCUUGCGCCGGCGAUGGUUCAUUCAAAUUUCUGCCCUAUCAACUUUCGACGGCUGGGUCUUGGCCAGCCGUGGUGACAACGGGUAACGGAGGGUUAGGGCUCGACCCCGGAGAAAACGCCUGAGAAACGGCGUUUACAUCCAAGGAAGGCAGCAGGCGCGCAAAUUACCCAAUGCCGACACGGCGAGGUAGUGACGAGAAAUACUGAUACAGGGCUCUUUUGGGUCUUGUAAUUGGAAUGAGUACAAUUUAAAUCUCUUAACGAGGAACAAUUGGAGGGCAAGUCUGGUGCCAGCAGCCGCGGUAAUUCCAGCUCCAAUAGCGUAUAUUAAAGUUGUUGCAGUUAAAAAGCUCGUAGUUGAACCUUGGGCCUGGCUGGCCGGUCCGCCUCACCGCGUGCACUGGUCCGGCCGGGCCUUUCCCUCUGGGGAGCCCCAUGCCCUUUACUGGGCGUGGCGGGGAACCAGGACUUUUACUUUGAAAAAAUUAGAGUGUUCAAAGCAGGCCUAUGCUCGAAUACAUUAGCAUGGAAUAAUAGAAUAGGACGUGUGGUUCUAUUUUGUUGGUUUCUAGGACCGCCGUAAUGAUUAAUAGGGACAGUCGGGGGCGUCAGUAUUCAAUUGUCAGAGGUGAAAUUCUUGGAUUUAUUGAAGACUAACUACUGCGAAAGCAUUCGUCAAGGAUGUUUUCAUUAAUCAGGAACGAAAGUUAGGGGAUCGAAAACGAUCAGAUACCGUUGUAGUCUUAACCAUAAACUAUGCCGACUAGGGAUCGGGCGGUGUUAUUUUUUGACCCGCUCGGCACCUUACACGAAAGUACAAGUUUCUGGGUUCUGGGGGGAGUAUGG